CCGCAAUGGGCGAAAGCCUGACGGAGCAACGCCGCGUGAGGGAUGAAGGCCUCUGGGCUGUAAACCUCUUUUCUCAAGGAAGAAGAACUGACGGUACUUGAGGAAUAAGCCACGGCUAAUUCCGUGCCAGCAGCCGCGGUAAUACGGGAGUGGCAAGCGUUAUCCGGAAUUAUUGGGCGUAAAGCGUCCGCAGGCGGCCUUGAAAGUCUGUCGUUAAAGCGUGGGGCUCAACUCCAUUUCAGCGAUGGAAACUACAAGGCUCGAGUGUGGUAGGGGCAGAGGGAAUUCCCGGUGUAGCGGUGAAAUGCGUAGAUAUCGGGAAGAACACCAGUGGCGAAGGCGCUCUGCUGGGCCAUAACUGACGCUCAUGGACGAAAGCUAGGGGAGCGAAUGGGAUUAGAUACCCCWGUAGUCCG
rnacentral:rRNA from 1 species